UAAGAAAAAAAAACUAAGUGAAACAGAGAUAAGUAAUGUACCUCAUAAGAGUUCAAGGUAACGGUCAUGAAGAUGCUCAGUGAACUUGGGAGAAGAAUGAAUGGAUCCAGUGAUAACAUCAGAAAGAGAUAGAAAAUAUAAAAAAGAACCAAUCAGAGCUGAAGGAUACAAUAACAGAAAUGACAAAUACACUAGAGGGAAUCAACAGCAGAUAAGAAGAUGCAGAAGAACAGAUCAACAAUUUGCAAGACAGGGUAGUAGAAAUCAUCCAAGCCGAAAAACAAAAAGAAAAAAGAAUUUUAAAAAUGAGGCUAGGUUAAGGGACCUGUGGGACAACAUCCAGUGUAAUAAUACUUGCUUUCAAGGGGUUCCAGAAAAAGAAAAGACAAAGGGGCAAAGAACUCAUUUGAAGAAAUAAAAGCUUCAUUUUAAAAAUUCAAA